rnacentral:rRNA from 1 species
GAUGAACGCUGGCGGCGUGCCUAAUACAUGCAAGUCGAGCGAACAGAUGAGGAGCUUGCUCCUCUGACGUUAGCGGCGGACGGGUGAGUAACACGUGGAUAACCUACCUAUAAGACUGGGAUAACUUCGGGAAACCGGAGCUAAUACCGGAUAAUAUAUUGAACCGCAUGGUUCAAUAGUGAAAGACGGUUUUGCUGUCACUUAUAGAUGGAUCCGCGCCGCAUUAGCUAGUUGGUAAGGUAACGGCUUCCCAAGGCAACGAUGCGUAGCCGACCUGAGAGGGUGAUCGGCCACACUGGAACUGAGACACGGUCCAGACUCCUACGGGAGGCAGCAGUAGGGAAUCUUCCGCAAUGGGCGAAAGCCUGACGGAGCAACGCCGCGUGAGUGAUGAAGGUCUUCGGAUCGUAAAACUCUGUUAUUAGGGAAGAACAAAUGUGUAAGUAACUAUGCACGUCUUGACGGUACCUAAUCAGAAAGCCACGGCUAACUACGUG